rnacentral:rRNA from 1 species
GAUGAACGCUGGCGGCGUGCCUAAUACAUGCAAGUCGAGCGAACAGACGAGGAGCUUGCUCCUCUGACGUUAGCGGCGGACGGGUGAGUAACACGUGGAUAACCUACCUAUAAGACUGGGAUAACUUCGGGAAACCGGAGCUAAUACCGGAUAAUAUAUUGAACCGCAUGGUUCAAUAGUGAAAGACGGUUUUGCUGUCACUUAUAGAUGGAUCCGCGCCGCAUUAGCUAGUUGGUAAGUUAACGGCUUACCAAGGCAACGAUGCGUAGCCGACCUCACAGGGUGAUAGGCCACACUGGAACUGGGACACGGUCCAGACUCCUACGGGAGGCAGCAGUAGGGAAUCUUACGCAAUGGGCGAAAGCUUGACGGAGCAACGCCGCGUGAGUGAUGAAGGUCUUCGGAUCGGAAAACUCUGUUAUUAGGGAAGAACAAAUGUGUAAUUAACCAUGCACGUAGUGACGGUACCUAAUCAGAAAGCCACGGCUAACUACGUG